GUGGGGAAUUUUGGACAAUGGGCGCAAGCCUGAUCCAGCAAUGCCGCGUGCAGGAAGAAGGCCUUCGGGUUGUAAACUGCUUUUGUACGGAACGAAACGGUCCGGGUUAAUACCCUGGGCUAAUGACGGUACCGUAAGAAUAAGCACCGGCUAACUACGUGCCAGCAGCCGCGGUAAUACGUAGGGUGCAAGCGUUAAUCGGAAUUACUGGGCGUAAAGCGUGCGCAGGCGGUUUUGUAAGACCGGCGUGAAAUCCCCGGGCUCAACCUGGGAAUUGCGCUUGUGACUGCAAGGCUGGAGUGCGGCAGAGGGGGAUGGAAUUCCGCGUGUAGCAGUGAAAUGCGUAGAUAUGCGGAGGAACACCGAUGGCGAAGGCAAUCCCCUGGGCCUGCACUGACGCUCAUGCACGAAAGCGUGGGGAGCAAACAGGAUUAGAUACCCUUGUAGUCC
rnacentral:rRNA from 1 species